ensembl:lncRNA
CUAAAUUAAAACUUCCUCAGAAUGACUUGAUUUACCAAAGCUUGACUUGUCAUCAAAGAAGACUGGUGAGUUUUCCUAAAGAAAUUCCUCAGAACCACACUUUGCUUUGCCUAUAGUAACUAGACACUGAAUUCAAUGAUGUCUUGCUAUGAUAACAAGACAGAGAAUCAGAUGGAGAGAGAUAUAGAUGGACAGAAAUAGAGAUAAGGAGGGAGUGUGGUUACUGUUUCUCUGAUAUUAAAAGGCCAGUCCAAUAUACCUUGGAUCUAUUACUAAGUUACUUUUGAACAAUACUUUUAUGGUUUUUCAAAGCAUUUUCAUGAAAUAUCUUGCUCAUUUGUUCCUGUCCCACAACAGCCCUGUGAUACUGCUACAGAGGGUAUUCCUUUUGACAGACAAGGGAGAAAAUCUUUGGCCCAUUCAUGAAAUCUCAUGGGCAGAGACAAAGGACAAGAGGACUGUGGGUCCUACUACCAUUGCCCUGGAAGAACAGCAGAGUUUCCCCAGGAGGGUCACUUUUCUUCUUAUGAAGAAUCUCCUUUUGGGUAAUGUGAUAUCGAUUGUAUAUGUGUUAUCAUACAACACAUACUUACAUGUUCAUAAUUUUGCAAAAAAAAGGACACACUAGAGAAAAAAUUAAUUGAAGAAAUCAAGUGAAGAACGACAGGUUAAUAUUAUGAUUUCUUCAUUUCAUCUGUUUUAUAUUCUACACGCUCAUUGGCGAACCCGUGGCAUGGAUGCACAGGUGGCACUCUGGGAGCUGCUCUGUUCCCCCUCUUCCCAGUGACCAAGGACAUUUUUUUUUUGCAUGCUCCAGCCCCUCUGACCAGCUGCCCAAAGCAAGCACUUUCUCCCUCAGCUCUCUGGAUAAUCCAGGGGCUCACCUGCAGUUUGAAUUUGCCUUCUGUACCCUCAACCUGGGAAAAGUUUCAACAACCCUUCCUAAUACUGAGCAAACAAGGAAUUCUGAAACAAAGUAAGGAGAGAUGAAAUAUUUGCUGCUGUUAACGGUGAUUAAAGUAAACUGUCAAAAAAGUAUGCUGGAAAGUGAAAAGGGAAACUACUAGGUCUCCUUAGUUUUCAGAUGUUAACUUGGAACUCUCUGGUUCAUUAUUUACUGAAUCUCCUUUUUCUUUGUAUUCUUCUAAUGAGACUAGCUAGCUCAAUAUUCUCUUUAAACUUGAUUGUAUUUACAUAUAUAUGUCAAUAACCUUGUCUCUGAAAAACUAGCAUCACACUUUUUCAGGGACAGAGUUAAGCAUUAUUUAAUAUGUACUUUGAGGAUAAAUGGACCAGUUAGUCUUGAAUAUACCCCCUGUGAAGAAAUAAUUUUCAAAACUUCAUGGUUAAAUAUAAUAUGUAUUUUCCUCACCUUUCAAAAAUCUCCACAACACUUGUCUUAAAAUUCUGCUGGAUUUUGAGGGGCAGACAACCACAGAUGACACUGGAAAUUUGAAGAUUUAGAAACAAUUGGAGACUGUCCACGUUUGUCAUAUUAUGGAUAUGUGUAUAUUUUAUGUAUAUUUUUGAAUAUAUGCAUAUAUAUAAAUGCACACACAUACAUAUCAUAGCAUAAUUAUAGAAUUACUAAGUGAUUGAAAAUUAGGGGUAUUAAGAUAGAACGGUAUUCUAUAAUUAUUAAGUAUAAAAUACAUUUGUUUUUUAUAAGCUGAAUAACUGACUAUGAACACUGUAUUUUAUGUUUAGGUGCAUGGUAGCAUGUUCAAGGAUAUAAAGUACCUUAGGAGGCAGUUGCGUGGCUCAGAGGAUAGAGUAUUGCGUCUGGGUCAAAAAGAUCGGAUUUCAAAUCUGACAUCAGACAUUAAUUAGCUAUAUGAUCAUGGUAAGUCAUUUAACUGCUUUCUUAAUCUAUUAGAGAAGGAAAAGCACUUCAGUGUCUUUGGCAAUGAAAACUCCACUGGCAGUAAGGUCCAUGGAGUCAAAGAGUCUCACACAAAUAAAUAAUAUCAAACUUCCA